rnacentral:rRNA from 1 species
UACGGGGGGAGCAAGCGUUGUUCGGAUUUACUGGGCGUAAAGGGCGCGUAGGCGGCCACCGCAAGUCGACUGUGAAAUCUCCGGGCUUAACCCGGAAAGGUCAGCCGAUACUGCGGGGCUAGAGUGCAGAAGGGGCAACUGGAAUUCUCGGUGUAGCGGUGAAAUGCGUAGAUAUCGAGAGGAACACCUGCGGCGAAGGCGCUCUGCUAGGCCGCAACUGACACUGAGGGACGAAAGCUAGGGGAGCGAAUGGG